UACGUAGGAGACGAGCGUUGUCCGGAGUUACUGGGCGUAAAGGGUGCGCAGGCGGCCCUGCGCGUCGCGAGUGAAAUCUCCCGGCUCAACUGGGAGGGUGGUCGCGAGACGGCAGGGCUUGAGGCUCGGUGAGGGGCGUGGAAUUCCGGGUGGAGCGGUGAAAUGCGUAGAUAUCAGGAGGAACACCGGUGGUGUAAACGGCUUUCUGGACCAUAACUGACGCUGAGGCACGAAAGCGCGGGUAGCAAACAGG
rnacentral:rRNA from 1 species